CACCAUGCGGAAACGUUAUGAUGGCCAUUUCCGAAAUUGAAAAUGAAAGAAACUGAAAUCCCCAUUUUUUUGUAUGUAUUGAUUUUCAUUUCAUGUUUGCAUUCACCCUAUUUGUUCGAUCUGUACUCGGUCAGGGGUGGAUUUAUGUUAAAAGAUUGGGUUUCCAGGAACCCAUUCGGUUUGUAGUUUUUAGCGAAAACCUAUGGGUGAACCCAUAACAAAAUCUGUUUAGUGUUCCACUGGUAGAACACGCCGCUUCAACCUAGUUCCAACCGUCGGUUCCGCCACUCCUAAUCUUUCUAAAUCUCUCAGACAUUCAAAAGAUGAGCUCCUCAAGCUUAAGAAGCUUGUUAGCGCAAGCAGCGGUUAGAGGAGUAGCAGAAGCAAGGGCACACGUAUUUGGUCAUGUGCUUAAUCCAACUGGUCAAAGAUCAGCCCAUAAGAUUUUACGCAAGAAGUUCAUUGGAGAAAAAGUUGCGUCAUGGUAUCCGGAUGACAUCCAAAAAGAGGACCCUAUGGUUGUGCAACGCAAAGAACAAGAGCGUUUAUCAAAACUUGAAAUGUUGAAGCGUCGUGGCAAGGGACCGCCAAAGAAGGGACAAGGAAAGAAAGCUCAAAAACGUAAUAAAUAGAUAUCAAUGCCUGUUCGUUUCAAGUUUCUUUUGACCUACAAAACUAAAAGUCUGUAUUUUAAUUUUUUCAAGUUGGAUCUUGUUAAUGAUAGCUUAAAGCUAUUGAUUUUGAAUAAUGCAUUUGUUAACUGCCUAAUGGGUACUCCAGAGGCGACCCAGUAGCGUAUUUCGUGGUG